rnacentral:tRNA from 1 species
GAUCCUGUAGCUCAAUGGGAAGAGCAUCCGCCUUCUAAGCGGAUGGCUGCAGGUUCGAGUCCUGCCAGGAUCA